AACUCGGGGAUUAGCACUUAUCUGUACACUGAGCUUACUGUGAGCACAUGAAGCUUGCCCAUGUUCCACAGAAUGCAAAAAGACCUCUGGAAAGAAAACAAGUGGAUUUUGAAUGGCACUUUAUUGUCUCCAUGCAGGAAGAUACAUUCCUACUUCACUGUCAGGAUACAUGUCUGCUCCUCUGGCUUUGAAAAUUGGUUUACUGAUGUUAUCCAUGAAAACAAAACAUCACCUGAGCAUAAAGGAGUAGUUCUGCUGGUCGCUGCCAUACUCCACAGGAGGAACUCAAAGCUCUGGCCUAAGAUUUUUGUGCUGAAUUCUACAGUCAUUGCAUGCUGCUGGAGGACACAGGGAUUCCUGUUACACUGCCAGCACAUUGAAAAAUUCCUGGAGGAAUCCGCUGGUUGCUGCUUUCCAGCUGCACCUCCACAUCUGCUCAGAAAAUCAACUGUGCCCCAAGCCAUCGAUUUCCCCCAGCAGUUCAAGGCACAGGAAAACUAAACUUGUACGUUGCAGUAAGUCAUUCAUGAAAGACGAAUUCCUGGAAACUUGGGAAUUUGUGCUCAUCCAAAUGCAGAGAUGUGACACCUUGUAUCCACCCAGGACAUCAGACAAAGCUGCUUUUAAGAACACUGAUGCAAAAAUGAGGUCUGGGGUGGUCAUUUAUGGUUCAAGUAGCGGUUUAUAUAUUUAUUAUCAUUAUACACAACCUUGACAAUCUAUAUUGCCAUUCAAAAAUAAAUUGAAGUCUUGUCAAUUUGCA
rnacentral:lncRNA from 1 species